GACGAACGCUGGCGGCGUGCUUAACACAUGCAAGUCGAACGGAAAGGCCCUGCUUUUGUGGGGUGCUCGAGUGGCGAACGGGUGAGUAACACGUGAGUAACCUGCCCUUGACUUUGGGAUGACUUCAGGAAACUGGGGCUAAUACCGGAUAGGAGCUCCUGCUGCAUGGUGGGGGUUGGAAAGUUUCGGCGGUUGGGGAUGGACUCGCGGCUUAUCAGCUUGUUGGUGGGGUAGUGGCUUACCAAGGCUUUGACGGGUAGCCGGCCUGAGAGGGUGACCGGCCACAUUGGGACUGAGAUACGGCCCAGACUCCUACGGGAGGCAGCAGUGGGGAAUAUUGCACAAUGGGCGGAAGCCUGAUGCAGCAACGCCGCGUGCGGGAUGACGGCCUUCGGGUUGUAAACCGCUUUCGCCUGUGACGAAGCGUGAGUGACGGUAUUGGGUAAAGAAGCACCGGCUAACUACGUG
rnacentral:rRNA from 1 species